rnacentral:rRNA from 1 species
CCUACGGGUGGCAGCAGUAAGGAAUAUUGGUCAAUGGACGGAAGUCUGAACCAGCCAUCCCGCGUGCAGGAAGAAGGUCCUAUGGAUUGUAAACUGCUUUUAGCAGAGACGAAACGCCUUCAUUUAUGGGGGUUUGACGGUAUCUGCGGAAUAAGCACCGGCUAACUCCGUGCCAGCAGCCGCGGUAAUACGGAGGGUCCAAGCGUUAUCCGUGAUCACUUGGUUUAAAGGGUGCGUAAGUCGGUGGUGAAAGCCUGUAGCGUAACUACAGAAUUGCCAUUGAUAUUGAUGUUCUUGAAUUGGGUUGAGGUUAGCGGAAUGUGACAUGUAACGGUGAAAUGUUUAGAUAUGUCAUGGAACACCGAUUGCGAAGGCAGCUAGCUGGGCCUUGAUUGACGCUGAGGCACGAAAGCGUGGGUAGCGAACAGGAUUAGAUACCCCAGUAGUC